UUACGCGGUUUUAAGUGGGGGAGCUCGGUGGCGCGUAUGGCGGCUAUGAGAAGCCGAUUAGCUUGAGACUGUGUUAAAUUCUCUUGUAGGCGCGAAGGACGGUGGCAGGGACGACGUCGACGAUGGCGGUAGUGGUUCCAAUGGUUACGACGAUGGUGUGCCGGUAGAGGCAAAACGGACGAUCGUACUCGAGGACAUAAUUUACGCUUGGGAAAGGGCGAAGUAGCGACAGCAUUAGUAGCUAAGUGGGACCCUACGUUAUCCUAUAUCCCUUGUGGAGGAUUGCACCUUUGUGAGAGCUUACGUGCAUGCACGAAUAUACGUAUGUAUCUCUGCUACGUUUGUUUGAGUAGGUAUAUGUAGAUAUCUAUGUAUAUACUUAAAUAUAUAUAUGUAUGUGUGUAUACAUAUAUGGACGAAUCCUCUCCUUCGAAGCGAUUCCUAUCUACAGUGGGCCACUCGCCACGAUGGAGAACACCAAGAACCAUACAGAUUACGAUCUUCCAUCCUAACCACCGGGACGAGAGCGAGCCUUUAAGGUACCCACGAGCAGCACUCAAUUCAGAUAAUGGAAUGACUUGAUCGUACUACCACCACCUUCAUCACCAACACCGCCACCGCCACCACCAUCACCACCAUCACCACCACCACCACCAGCACCAUCACCAUCACCAUCAGGUUCGUCUUCGCGCGUACACCGUCCAUCAGCCUCAAGGCCUUUUACCCAGGCCGGAAUAAAUUGCCAUGCAGGGUGCGGCAUUUCCAACCAGCUUACGCCGAUUCCGUGCUUGUAUACCACCUAAGUAUCCGCGAUUGGUAUCCCAUUUAAGGUGGCUUUCAUUCUCAUUAAAACCACCGCGAUCGAA